rnacentral:rRNA from 7 species
UAAGCAUAUCAAUAAGCGGAGGAAAAGAAACCAACAGGGAUUGCCCUAGUAACGGCGAGUGAAGCGGCAACAGCUCAAAUUUGAAAUCUGGCGCAAGCCCGAGUUGUAAUUUGUAGAGGAUGCUUCUGGGUAGCGACCGAUCUAAGUUCCUUGGAACAGGACGUCAUAGAGGGUGAGAAUCCCGUAUGUGACCGGCCCGCACCCUUUACGUAGCUCCUUCGACGAGUCGAGUUGUUUGGGAAUGCAGCUCUAAAUGGGAGGUAAAUUUCUUCUAAAGCUAAAUACCGGCCAGAGACCGAUAGCGCACAAGUAGAGUGAUCGAAAGAUGAAAAGUACUUUGGAAAGAGAGUUAAAAAGCACGUGAAAUUGUUGAAAGGGAAGCGCCUGCAACCAGACUUCGCGGCAGUGUUCCGCCGGUCUUCUGACCGGUUCAUUCUCUGUCGCGAGGCCAUCAUCGUCUGGGCCCGCCGGAUAAGACCUUAGGAAUGUAGCUCACCUUCGGGGGAGUGUUAUAGCCUAGGGUGAUGCGGCGAGGCUCGGGCGAGGUCCGCGCUUCGGCAAGGAUGAUGGCGUAAUGGUUGUCGGCGGCCCGUCUUGAAACACGGACCAAGGAGUCUAACAUCUAUGCGAGUGUUCGGGUGUCAAACCCCUACGCGUAAUGAAAGUGAACGGAGGUGGGAACCGCAAGGUGCACCAUCGACCGAUCCUGAUGUCCUCGGAUGGAUUUGAGUAAGAGCAUAGCUGUUGGGACCCGAAAGAUGGUGAACUAUGCCUGAAUAGGGUGAAGCCAGAGGAAACUCUGGUGGAGGCUCGCAGCGGUUCUGACGUGCAAAUCGAUCGUCAAAUUUGGGUAUAGGGGCGAAAGACUAAUCGAACCAUCUAGUAGCUGGUUCCUGCCGAA